rnacentral:lncRNA from 1 species
UCCAAUUCUAGAGCUGAACAAUCUGAGUUUGAACCCUAAUUCUGGCACUUGUUGUGUGACCUGAGGUGAAUUAUUUAACUUCUCUGUGCCUUGUUUCAUUAAGCUGCAAAUAUGAAUUAUACCAGUGCUUACUUUAUGUGUUUAUCCUAAGGAUUAACUAAAUUAGUGUGUUUAAAGUUCUUGGAGAGGAACCCAGAACACAAGAAGAGCUAUGGGAGCUUCAGGUAUCAUUAUAAUUGGAUCCAUUUGAACAUUCAUCAUUUGGCCACUGAAAACCCAUUAUAUUCCAGACAGUGUUCUACCAACUCAUGAUACCGAGUGAAUGAGACAAACGAGAGCUCUGAAUUUAUGAUACCUAUGCAGCAGUCGAGGAGGCAGAUGAUAAACAAAAACAGUAUACCUUUCAGGCAGUGAUAAAUAUUGUUUAAAAAUGACGGGGAGGGAUGUCACAGACAGUGACCGAGAUCAAGGGCUGUCUGAGCAGAAAAUCUUCUGGACGACACAGAUGUUGAGACCUCAAUUCUAUCUCCUCGGUGAGGAACACUAAGCAGAAGCAAGUUCCAUCAUUCUCCAUUCUUCAAGCGUCUAUAAUGACAGCUCCUUCCUAUUUUAACGUUAUACAUUUUAUGUAUACACCAUAGAUAUUUUUAAGGAUAAUGAAUAAAACAGCUAAUGACCAAGAUGUUUGGAAAGUAGGAGCUUGUCUCUAUGGAGAGUCACCCCAAAUGACAGGACCAACAGGACAGGAGGGAAGAAACAGAGGAACAUCGUCGCUCCACUCCAACAUCCUCCCAGGCCCUCCAGGCAGUUCAGACUUCAGUCACCUACGUCCUGUCAUCAGUCAACUUCAGGAAACUUUUCAAAAUUGUUGCCCAAUCUACAAGGACAGGAGACAGCUGUUCAAAAUGAGUCAAGGAAGGCCAGAGCUCUGA